GUCCAGGGAUGGGAAUCGAACCCAACAUGUUCCACUUACCGGGCAGAUGCCAUGUCCACUAGGCUACCCUGGA
rnacentral:tRNA from 1 species